rnacentral:rRNA from 1 species
UACGUAGGGGGCAAGCGUUGUCCGGAAUCAUUGGGCGUAAAGAGCGUGUAGGCGGCCCGGUAAGUCCGCUGUGAAAGUCGGGGGCUCAACCCUUGAAUGCCGCUGGAUACUGCCUGACUUGAGUCCGGAAGGGGCGAGUGGAAUUCCUGGUGUAGCGGUGAAAUGCGCAGAUAUCAGGAGGAACACCAAUUGCGUAGGCAGCUUACUACACGAUCAUUGACGCUGAGGCACGAAAGCGUGGGGAGCAAACAGG